rnacentral:rRNA from 1 species
AGCAGUAGCCGCGGGAAUACGUAGGUCCCGAGCGUUGUCCGGAUUUAUAGGGCGUAAAGCGAGCGCAGGCGGUUAGAUAAGUCUGAAGUUAAAGGCUGUGGCUUAACCAUAGUACGCUUUGGAAACUGUUUAACUUGAGUGCAAGAGGGGAGAGUGGAAUUCCAUGUGUAGCGGUGAAAUGCGUAGAUAUAUGGAGGAACACCGGUGGCGAAAGCGGCUCUCUGGCUUGUAACUGACGCUGAGGCUCGAAAGCGUGGGGCGCAAACAGGAUUAGAUACCCCGGUAGUCCCUGUCUCUUAUACC